CCGGAAUGGAAGCACUUGGAUACAUAUGGAUAGAUGAAGAGAGUGUUAGUAACGUGUUGGGUGAUUCCUCUUCUUCUUCUUCUUCUUCUUCUUCAAAAACACCAUUCUUCCCAUCCUUAUCUUCUCUUAGAAUAGAGUGGUGCCCAAAACUGAAGGGAUGGUGGAGGAAUUCAGAUGAUGAUGAUGAUAAUGAUAAUGAGCCACACCAUCUCUUACUUCCAUCAUUUCCUCCUUCUCUUUCGGAAUUACUGAUUCACAAUUGCCCUAACCUGACUUCCAUGCCCCUAAUUCCAUAUUUGAAAGAAAGUCUGUUCUUGAGUAGGUGUAGCUGGAAGGUAACGGAGCAGACAAUGAAAAUGAAAAUGAAAAUGGGAGCAGCAACCACAUCAACCUACCUUCCUCUCUCUCAAUUACAGCAAUUACGAUUAUAUCAGAUUAACGAUUUCGAAUCUCUUCCUCUUCCAGAGGAGUGGCUACGGAACCUCGUUUCUCUCCGAGAACUCGAAAUACAAAGCUGCGAUGGACUGAGUUCUUUCCAUUGGAUAGGCAUCCUCACAUCACUACAAACCCUUGACAUUCGGAGAUGUCCCAAUCUGACGUCACUUCCUCAAGAGAUUCGCAAUCUCACCUCUUUAAAAGAGUUGAGAAUUUGGGAGUGUCCCCUCUUAGGGCAAAGAUGCAAGAGGCAAAUAGGUGAAGAUUGGCCCUUCAUUGCCCAUGUCCCAAUCGUAAGAGUGGAUGGUCAGAACCAGCAAGAAGAAACAAUUUCUUCAGAAUCUGAGUCAGAUUCAGUUUGUUAACACUCCGAGAGGAGGGCUUAAUCUAGCAACUACCAUUGCAGGAAUUAGCUUAUUUUCAGGGUCCCUAUGUGAACAUGAGGCAGCAAACAUGAAUAUAGGAGGGAAAGAGUUGAAUCAGUUGGCAUCUUUAACUACUUCAGAACAAAUUAAGGAAACAACUAACCUGGUGCAAAAUUUGGACCCUAUUCAAAACUUUCUGGCCCUGAUAUUGUGCAACAAGUCAUGAACUCAAGGUCACUGCAACAAUUUCUUUGAAGUGCAAAGUGUGAAGAUGAUCCUAUCUUUGGGUAAUAUGGAGAGGAAAGAAAAGUGAGAAUUUUGGUUGAAUUUCACUUAGAGGAGUACCUUGCCUUUUCACCUGAAUUCUCCUGUUACAUUUUGUGGUUGUAAGUUAUAAUCUUGGAAUUUACCUUGUGCGAAUAUUGCUGCUUGGUGAAGUUAUUAAUCAAGGAAGAAUUGGUGAUUGAAGUUUUGUCCUUCUGUUUUCUCUCUAGAA